GCGCCAUUAGCUCAACUGGAAAGAGCAUGGGUUUUCUAUACCAAUGGUUGCAGGUUCGAAUCCUGCAUGGCGUGCCA
rnacentral:tRNA from 2 species